GGAAAAUUAGAAUUACGUUUCUCAAAUUUCUUGAAUUCAGUAGACCUUUUUUCUAGGAUACGGUCCUAGUGUGAUACUACUCUUGAAUUUUCAGAGCCUCCACUCAUUCCUCCAUUGCCAUGGAUAUUAGGUGCUCAGAACUGUGAAUGGACACACCCUAAGGAGGUUUAACAUGAGUUUACGUGGUCAAGGGGUAAGUAAAGGAGCAGAAAAGGGAGUGUUUUGGUUGGUUAGAGAAGUUAAUAAAGCAGAGUUGUUAGGUUUUACUAUAUUCUAUAUAUUGCUAUAUUCUGUUCCAAAGUGAUAAGGAGUAUAGAAUGCUAAUUCAGAUCAUCUAUUUUGAUAAAGCUUGCCAGUGUUCAAAAUAUAAUGAAUAAAUUGAUAUGUCAAUUUUCAUUUUCUCAAACAGAAUUUUUAGGUUUGUGGUAACUUCACUGCCAAGAGGUUUAGUUCAUAACAGAAGGGCUUCCUUCAAUGUCUCCUCUCCAAAAAACCAGAAGAUGGAUCCUUCAGUACUCAGAGCCAGUAUCUUGCCGUGGGGAAGAAUACUUGACCAUAUCUCCCUUCCCCAUUCUGAUACAUGUGAACUCCCAA
rnacentral:lncRNA from 1 species